ensembl:misc_RNA
GAGGCCAAGGUCAAGUUGAAAGUUGCCGUC